rnacentral:lncRNA from 1 species
UGUAAGAAAAUUGCAUACAUAUUAGUGAAAAACAUGAUGAUCAUGUUAUUUAAUAAUAUGUUUGUUCAUAUAUAUCAAAUUUAAGCAUUGUUAAACUUGCAUAGUUUUUGAUGUACAUGGAAUUAGCCAUUUAACUCAAGUUUUUAUACUGAAUGUUAAUGAAUAACACUGACAAACUUUUAAGGAUAAUGGGGGACAUACUGACAAGCAGUUUGGUGUAAUGAACCUAUGACCAGAAAUAUAAUUGAUGACACUAUAGAGUGUCAAAAUUGGAAGAUAAGCUUCUCCCUAGCAAACAUCUCUCUGUUUUGUUAUUUGUUAUCUAUUUUAUUUGUUAUUUGCAGCAUAGUUGCUGUGGAGCUGCAACGGAAAUGGAAAUUGUGAGGUUACAGCAGUUAUUCAAAGUAAGCACCACCCACGUUGUUGCAAGCAUAACAAUGCCACUAUAUGUUUUGGUGCAUUUGCUCAAAAAUUCCAGGCGUGGUCUGGAUUGUAUUUUCCUUGCAUUGCACUGUUUUCCAACGAGACUUGUUUCACUAAAGAUAGUCAGUUUAAUCGCUACAACAUUCGUGUUGGUGGAGGAAAAUUCCUGGAGUAAACAGUAGAUAAAAAUAUAAUUUUUUGAAAUUCUGAUGAGUGCUUUAUAAAGAUAUCUAUUAUGAAUGCUUAGAUAUUAAUAACAGUUUCAUUCGGUAGAAUGUUGACAGGACUAUGAUUCCUGGUGAUAUUUGUCAGUGGAUGCAUCAGGAAAAAAAUAAGAAACUUAGUAAAUUGAAACAUGAAGUUUAUUGUUGUUAUUUUCAGAACUUGAAGGACAUAUCAACUGUCUAUGAAAAUGAAAUUGUUCAAAUUAGACUAAUUGAAGAAUGGCAUAGUAUUAUGAUCCUGUCAUCUCUUUAAGAAAACAGAACACAUAACAUUGAUGGAUAACAUUAAAAAAUAAAAAUUUAAUGAUUACAAAACCAUUUGAUAUUUGUGAAUCUAUUUUAAAUGCAUCCACUCUUACAAAUAGGGAUAUGGGACAAACUUAAUUUGUGUUUUAUGAAAAAAUAUGACUGCAAAUCUGCAAUGCCCCUUUAUAGGCAAAUUGUCACAGGACACUGAUAAAAUUCUAAGCUUUAAAAAUUUCUGUAAAAUUUUUCUUUCAUUGAAAGAAAUAUUUGAAUUUUCUGAUCAUAAAAAAAUCAUAUUUUUU